rnacentral:rRNA from 1 species
UACGUAGGGUGCAGGCGUUAAUCGGAAUUACUGGGCGUAAAGCGCGUGUAGGCGGCUUGGCAAGUCGGGUGUGAAAGCCCUGGGCUCAACCUAGGAAGUGCACUCGAAACUGCUUCGCUUGAGUGUCGGAGAGGAAAGCGGAAUUCUCGGUGUAGAGGUGAAAUUCGUAGAUAUCGAGAGGAACACCGGUGGCGAAGGCGGCUUUCUGGACGAUAACUGACGCUGAGACGCGAAAGCGUGGGGAGCAAACAGG